AUUAUUAUGCAAGCCAGAGAGGGAGCUCUAGGCAGGUGAUUAAACAUGCCUUUGGCAACAGGGCAAGGAACAGAUGCUUGGGAGGACACACCUUGAAAUUGCAGGCUGGCUCCCAGUGUCUUGAUGGACCCUACGGCACAUUGGGAGAGACAGACAUUCAGCAAAUGAUGACUCAAUAAUUGUGGAUUGGAUUUCUUGUACAAAGUGGCAAAGUGGAAAGACAAGAAGGCUUGCAUUUAAAGUCAGACCAACAACCUGCAGACAUGGUUAAAAUUCCAGCUCUCGGACAUAUUGGCUGUGUGACAGAGGACCCAUCACUUCCUCUCUCUCAGUCUUAACUUUCUACCCUCUAAAAUUGAAUGAUAAUUGCUGGUGGA